rnacentral:tRNA from 1 species
CCUUUGAUAGCUCAGUUGGUCGAGUGGAGGACUGUAGAUCCUUAGGUCGCUGGUUCAAAUCCGGCUCGAAGGA